GUUAGGUUCUGUCAAUAGAAGAUACUAAAGAAAGAAAGCCAGGAGAAGAAAAGGGACUUCUUUCUUCAAGGUCUAAGCUGUUCUAAUAGCAUUAUUCUGGGAAUGGCAUCUUCCACUCCUCCUAGUACAAAGAACCUGCUUCCUCAUACCCCGUCAAGGAACUGCAGCAUCCAGAAUACAUUCAUACCUAACACCUCAAUAGAUGACAUGUUAUCCAUGGAAUCGAGUUCAAAGCCCUCUGUAACGUGGCUAUAUCCCAUCUACUCUGAGCUGAUGUUCAGCAGGUGAUGGCCACAGUGGCAGAACCUAGGAAGCCAAGAAGAAACCAGAGAAUGGAGACACAUGGCAGCAAUGGCAAGUCAUCAGACCCAGGAUUUCCCAAAGAACACUGGUCCAGGAAGAUGCUCUGUGAAAAAGUGUUCCCUGGUCGGAGAAAUUUGUGAAACACUUUGCAUAAUACUUAAAAGAAUGUAUGGCACAUCAAAGGUAAUAUGCAAUAAAAGAAUUCAUUUUUUUAAAACCAA
rnacentral:lncRNA from 10 species